AAAUCUACAACGACUUGAGGUCACAGUUAUAAACUGAACAUAUAAACUCUUUUUUUUUAUCAGUUAAUGAAAACAUGUUAGAAUAUGGAGAUGAGCCAUUACGUCAAGAUUCACUUCGGUCUUACAGGUAAUUAACAGCAUAUUGUUUGAAUUAUAUUUUUUUUAUGUAUUUUUUUCACAAAAAGGGGAAAAAUCUUUUGAUUUAAAAUGUAAUAAGCAACAGCCCUUUGAAUCAUUUAAAUACAUUUGGUUAUAUUUUGUGCAGGUUUGAGGAUGAUGAGAUGGAAAGACAGGAAAAUCCUAUUUAUGGAAAUAUCUGUUUAGAUGGAGGAGGUAGGUAUAGCUCAUAAAUACAGUAAUCCAGUGUAUGCCUACUAUUUACUGCUAAUAAUUAUGCUGUUAUGAUGACAUUGUUAUGUAUUUAACGCUUGUUUAUUCUGUGCAGGGCAUUUUGAAAUGUCUCCGGAGGUGUGCUAUGAACAAAUGUCCCAUGCAAGCACAGCAAAGCAGGGAUUAAAGGUUCAGCAGGGGGACGUGUCCUAUGCCUCUCUGGAUCUGACUGCCAAUAAAAAGCGUAGGAAGAAGAGAAAAUACCACAAGCAGGCUCAAACUCACCAGGCCCAGACACAUCCUCAACCCACAUCCCAGCAGAACGGCAUGGACCAGGAUGACGAGGCUGAUGUCACCCUCCCGUCCCGGAGCAGCAGCCUCAUGGUUUCACGUCACAGUAUCUACCUCAACAGUCAUCAAGUAGCCCUGGAGGCAGAAGAGAGGGAGAGGGACAGAGAGAGGGAGAGGGAGAGAGUAAGAGAGAAGGAAAUAGAAAGAGAGAGAGAUGAUAAUGCAGAGAUAGAGUUUGAGAUGCACAGAAAUGUGCAUGAAGACUUUGAUCACUCCCUCAGUAGAUCAAGACAAAGUCUAGAACAGGACAGUUAACAGUUUUAGAGUUAAAAAAAAACUUUAGCGUCUUAAAAGUUGAAACACAGGAUACUGUGGGGUGGUGCUGUCAGCAGCUGUGAUAUUUAAAGCUCAUCGUUAAAGUACAUAAGUCACACCCCAAGUCAUAAUUUCUGUCUGUUCAAAAGCAUGCAGAGGAGACCAGCUAUUUGUUCUGAGGUUGUGUCCAAUCGAGACACAUCUAAAUCAGUUUAUCACUUUAAAUGUGCUUUCUUAUUUCCUGCAUUUGAAGGUUGGUCUGUUUGUUGUUGUACUUACAGUAAGAAGAAUAUGUUAACAAAUAUUUAUCUGAUUGUUUUUUAUGAUAAUUUUCAGGAUCACAUAAAUGUAUAUUUGUGCAAAUAAGGUUGACUGAUGACUCAAGUCAUUUGAUGUACCUAUGCACAGGAAAAUAAGGACUGUUUUAUAGCUAUUACUCAGAGUUGGAAUAUUUCUGUGGCUUUGUCCUGAUAUUAAAGGUAUUGGUG
rnacentral:lncRNA from 1 species